AGCGAACGUUGGCGGCAGGCUUAACACAUGCAAGUCGAACGGUCCUUCGGGAUAGUGGCGGACGGGUGAGUAACACGUGGGAACGUGCCUUUAGGUUCGGAACAACACAGGGAAACUUGUGCUAAUACCGGAUGUGCCCUUCGGUGGAAAGAUUUAUCGCCUUUAGAGCGGCCCGCGUCUGAUUAGCUUGUUGGUGAGGUAAUGGCUCACCAAGGCGACGAUCAGUAGCUGGUCUGAGAGGAUGACCAGCCACAUUGGGACUGAGACACGGCCCAAACUCCUACGGGAGGCAGCAGUGGGGAAUCUUGCGCAAUGGGCGAAAGCCUGACGCAGCCAUGCCGCGUGAAUGAUGAAGGUCUUAGGAUUGUAAAAUUCUUUCACCGGGGACGACAAUGACGGUACCCGGAGAAGAAGCCCCGGCUAACUUCGUGCCAGCAGCCGCCGUAA
rnacentral:rRNA from 1 species